GAACAGUUCAGUGGAGACAUGUUCCUUAUCUGCAGGGGCUAGUGGAAUUGCUGAUAGCUGAGAAUGUAGCCUGCUCCCCAAGUGCGAGUUGGCAUUUUGGAGAGAAAACUUGAUAUUUGGAGCACUGACUGGCACUGCGUUUUCUAAAUAAUUAAGGGUGGUGGGGUGGUGGUGCGAGAAAGAGGAUGGUCUAUGAACACUGACCCUGGAAAAUUAACUCCCGAGUGUGUGGGUUGUGGAUAACAGGAAAAGAACAUCACCCGCAAAUGACAGCAGUGCCUUUAUUUAUUUAUUUAUGCUUCUUUUUAGUUCUGAGUUGUUUUUAAGCCACAAAUUAAUGGGGCCACCAUGAGUUUUCAGAGAAUGAGUUUUACAAAAAUCUAAGUGUUUUAAAUAUUGCAAGGAUUUACUUAUAUAUGCUGUAUAUGAGAAAAGUCCUUCCAGUUAUAGGGAGGAGAAAGAAAGUAUAUUCAGGAAUUAAAUUUUCACAGUUCUCUGAAUUCUUAUAUUUCUCUUGUUGUCCAUUUUUCUUUUUUUGUCCUUCAUCCACCCCUUCCACCUUGACCCACUGUCUUCAUCAUCUAGUGCUGCCGUAACAGAAAUACCAUGAGUGGAUGGCUUUAACCAAGAGAAAUGUAAUACCUCACAUUAAAGUAGGCUAAUAGUCCAAAUUCAAGGCAUCAGCUCUAGGGGAAAGCUUUCUCUCUCUUUCGGCUCUGGAAGAAGGUCCUUGUCCUUAGCCUUCCCAUGGUCAAGGAGCUUCUCAGGUGCAGGGACCCUGGGUCCAGAGGACAUGCUCUGCUCCUGGUGCUGCUUUCUUGAUAGUCUGAGGCCCCCAACUCUCCGCUUGCUUCCCUUUCCUUUUACCUCUUGCGAGAUAAAAGGUGGUGCAGGUCACACCACAGGGAAAGGUGACCUGAGUGAGGGUGGUGUUACAAUCCCACCCUAAUCCUCUUACAGUAAAAUUACAAUCACAAAAUGAAGGACAACUAGGCAAUAGUGGGAAUCAUGGCCUAACCAAGUUGAAACACACGUUUUUUAGGGUCAUAAUUUAAUCCAAACCAAAUCAAACUUGUCACCAUCAAGUUGAUUCCAACCCAUAGAGACCCUAGUUGAUAUUAACUCAUAGAGACCCUAUAGCAUAGAGUAGAACUACCUCAUAGAGUUUCCAAGGUCUAGUUGGUGGAUUCGAACUGCUGACCUUUUGGUUAGCAGCUGAGCUCUUAACCACUAUGCCACCAGGCCUCCUCUUGAUCCACAGUCCACCCUAAUUCACCACUGUGUUAGAAAAAGGCUUUGCUAUUCUGAAAUAAGAACUUUUUACUAUACUUUUGUGUUCGUGGUUGCUUUUGGUAUGUCUUUAAGCACUGAACAGUUAACUCAUACCCAUUAAAAACCCAUUGCCACUGAGUCUAUUCCAACUCAUAGCGGCCCAAUAGGGCAGAGCAGAACUGUGCCAUAGACUUUCCAAGGAGUGCCUGGUGGAUUUGAACUGAUGACCUUUUGGUUAGCAGCCAUAGCUCUUAAACAGUACACCACCAGUGUGGGAGGGGUUUAAUUGAUAACAUGAUGUCUGGGCUCCAAGGGAGAUGGAAUGGAUGUGCAGGAGAAGGGCAUGCAGAGUCAGCCUGUAUAGUCCCCUGAACUCUGUUCAAGAUCAUAACACACCUCAGUAAUCACUUGAAUCUAAACAUACAACUUUAACAGUUGAUAUAAAUGACUUUACACAUGAAUUUUGGAACGCAACUAUUUCUCAAUGGAAGUUUCUUCAACUAAGCUGUUUGUAUUCCCUUAAUAAUUGUGAAAGCUAACAUUUAUUGUGUUCAUUCUGUGUGUAAGGCCUUUUUCUAAGUGCCUUGUGUGUUUUCUUUAACCUGCGUAACAACCUUUUGAAUAAGACCCAUUUUAGAAAUGGGAAACUGAGGCAGUGAGAGGUAAAGUAACGUGCCCAGAUCAACCAGCUGAUAGAUUGAGUUAGGAUUUAAACCCAGGCAGUUUGUUUCAGAAUUUGCUUAUGUAAUCACUGUACAUGACAGCAGUGAGCCCUAGUGGCUGUGUGGCUAAAGAACUUGGCUGCUAACUGAAAGGUCAGUGGUUCGAACCCAACCGCCUCUCUGCAGGAGUCAGAUGUGGCAGUCUGCUUCAGUGAAGACUUACAGCCUUGGAAACCCUAUGUGGCAGUUUUACUCUGUCCUUUGGGGUCACUAUGAGUUAGAAUCGACUUGAUGACAGUGGGUUUUGGCACAUAAUACUAAUGUGCAGUGUAUUCUGUAUGCCGUGUAUAUGUUCAGAAACUAAUUUUCCGAACAUUUAUGCCAUAUAUAGAUUACCAAUCCAGUUGCCGUUGAGGAGAUUUUCACUCCUGAGGACCCCGUGAGUUUUCAGAGUAGGACUGCCCUCCAUACGGUUUUCAACAGCUGUGACCAUUUGGAGGUAGAUUGCCAGGCCUUUCUUCCAAGGCAACUCUGAGUGGAUUUAAACUGCCAACCUUUCAGUUAGUAGCUGAGCACUUAACUCUUUGUGCUACCUCAUACAUAUAUAUACUAGGAGGUUUUCCUCCUUAUUUGUACUUUAACGUUUUUUAGACUGUUAUGAAUACAUGUUCCUGGCAGUUAACUACAUGCUAAAGAACAGAAUAGGCACAUGUAACCCUCUCUCACCUUCUCCCUCCCCUCUUUCACAGAGAUGAAAUGAAAAGGAAUUAAUGAGGACAGAUUAUUGGAUUAGGGCCCAUACUCAGGGCUCUAACAGCAUGGGGAGUUUCUCCUGUCACUUCAGUUCUUGUUCAGGAAUUGGCACCUGCUUUUUGUGAAUCACAAAAACCAGUGCUUUAUAUCAAGCCAUUUAGAUUUGGGCUAUGGAGCAGUGACUUAAAAAAAUUAAAUUUUAUUUUCAGAGAUUUUUUCUAUUAAUUGUUUACAUUUAUUUUAAUUGUAUAUUCUGAAACCGCUACAAAAAGGCAUGAAAUAAUUGUUUAAAUUUUAAUUCGUAUGGGUCUAAAUGUAUGUUAAACUACCUAUCGUCGCCGUCACAGUCGUUGUUAUGUUUGAGCCGAUUGUUGUGGCCACUUGUUACCAAGUAUGACUUUCUUCUCCAGGGACCGAUCUUUCCUGACAACGUGUCCAAAAUAUGUGAGAUGAAGCCUCGUCAUUCUUGCUUCUAAGGAAUAUUCUGGCUGUACUUCUUUCAAGACAGAUUUGUUCAUUCUUUUGGCAGUCCGUGGUAUAUUCAAUAUUCUUUGCAAAUACCGUAAUUCAGUGCCUUCAAUUUUUCUUUAGUCUUCCUUAUUCAUUGCCCACCUUUCGUGUGCGUAUGAGGCGACUGAAAGCACCAUGGCUUGAGUCAGGUGCACAUUAGUUUUCAAGGUGACAUCUGUGCGUUUGAACACUUUAAGAGGCCUCUGGCAGCAGAUUUGCCCAAUGCAAUGUGUCGUUUGAUUUCUUGACUGCUGCUUCCAUGGGUGUUUAUUGUGGAUCCAAGUAAAAUGAAGCCCUUAGUGAUGUCAACAUUUUCUCCAUUGUCAUGAUGUUGCUUAUUGGUCCUGUUGUUAGGCUGUUGGUCUGUAGUCUUUGAUUUUCUUCAGUAAAUGCUUUAAGGCCUCUUCACUUUCAACAAGCGAGAUUGUAUCAUCUGCAUAUCUCAGGUUAUUAAUGAGUCUUCCUCCAAUCCUGACGCCUUAUUCUUCUUCAGACAGUCCAGCUUCUCGGAUUAUUUGCUCAGCAUACAGGUCGAAUAGGUAUGGUGAAAGGAUACAAUGGAGACGCAUACCUUUCUUGACUUUAAACCAUGCAGUAUUCCUUGUUCUAUUUAGAUGACUGCCUCUUUUUCUAUGUACAGGUUUCUCAUGAGAACAAUUAAGUGUCCUGGAAAUCUCAUUCUUUCCCAUGUUAUCCAUAAUUUGUUAUGAGCUGGAGUAGGUCUCAGAAAUAAUGUGCCAUUUCUUCCAGUUGGUUGUGCACGGCUGCCUACUUCCCUAGGUGGUAGCAGGUAAGGCCUGUCUCAGAAACACUCCCCUCCUCACUAAGCAUGAUUCUUCACACUGCUCCAUCUUCUUUCCCGUGUGUGUCUCCUGCCCUCCUCAGUGGCCGGGGAAAAUGAUAGUAGUCCACUAUGAGAUUUAUUCUUUUAUUAUACUUUAUUUUAUCAUUUGUUUUUAUAACAUAGUUCCGUUAAAAUCAAGGGUAAUAAAAAUGUUUGUGUGAUGGAAGUGGAUAAUCCCACCCAUUGUGUCCAUCUAAAGUUUCAUGAGAAAACUGUGCCCACAACAGAGGGCUCCCACUCCUCUGGCUCACUGUAUUUUCUCCUUGUUUAUUUGCUCUUCCCUCUUUCCUGAUGCAUGCAUGGGACCACUGAGCUUCAGGACUCCACAAUUCUCCUUUUCAUACCAGUGUUACUGUAAUCUUGGGUUCAUGGGCUGCCUUGCCACAGAUUUACUCAUUCUGUUUCUGUUAAUUAUUUCAUUACUUAAAAAUCUCUCAUGAAUUUUUCCAGAAGUACAUUCUAUUCCUCAAAAACUUGGAAGCAAUGGGAAAGUAUGCAAUAAAUAACAAGAAAACAUACGUAAUGCAUAGAAUAAAUUAUUAACGUUCCGAUAUGUCUGUUAUCUUACUUACAUUGGCAUGUAUGUGUAUUAGAGUCUCUGGUUGAUGCAAAUGGUUAAUAUCUUGAGCUGCUGACAGAAAGUUGGAGUUCAGGUCCACCCAGAAUUGCUGUGAAAGAGAGGUCUGGCAGCCUACUUCCGAAAACCCAAACACUGAAACCCCUAUGGAGUACAGUUCUACUCUGGCACACUGGUGUCAUCAUGAAUCAGAACUGACUCAGUGGCAACUGGUUUUAUGUGUGUAUUAGCACACACAUUUAUGUAUAUUAACACAGAUAUUAUAUCCUGAUAUUUUCGUUCAUCAUUAGUCUUUUCUCAUGAUAAAUUUUUUUUGUUUUUUUUUAAUGAGGGCAUUAAAUUACUUUAUAAUAUUCUGUGUGCAUGUAGUAUAUGUUUUUUAACGAUUUGACUAUAGUUGCAAUAAUAAAUGUGCAUGUUUCUAGUAAUCUUCAACCUAUACUUACAUCUUUUUAACAUACAUCUCUGCCAUUAAAUCUCUUUGUUUAAUUAUUGUUUAACACUCUUUACGCCUAAGAGAUGGUCUCAGAAGCAGCCCUGAUCAGUUUUUCUCCCUCUUACUCAUGAAGCCCCUUAAUGUAUCCCAAGGUAUCAACUACGAAGGAUUUUACGUACUUAUCGUUUGUUUAUUUUUCUUUCAGUCAGUAUAUUCCAUGGGCCAGAAAUAGUCUAUGUUAUGCAGAUACAGUGGUGAAAGGUACACACUGUCCCUGUCCUCAUGAAGGGGACAACCCAGUGCAGGUGGGAGGAGCACUGGGGAAAUGCAGCUGAGAGCAAGGACAGACAACCCUCCAGGAACCACACUGGACUUCAGAGAGGCUUGUUGGCUGCUGUUCACCUGGCAGGCUUCUAGAUACCCGAGUACCCUUGGGCUUGGUGCCUGCUCCUCUCUCUAUUGACACCCUCCCUCUAGGAUGCCUCAGUGAGUUCACUGCUGUCUAUUUGUAGCUAAGGACCUGAGGUUUAUACCUCCAUCCAUUCAAACUCCUCCUGGGUCCAGACUCAUAUAUUGAAAUGUCAGCCUAACUCUCUGUAUUGACCUCUUUAUGCAUUAUAAUGAUACAUUCCUCAUAUGGCCAUCAUGAAAAGCAAACAUGAAAGGAAAAGCACAGGAGUGCCUGGCACCAGUGUAGGUACUCAAUGAACAUUAGCUGUUGGUAUUAUCCUUGACAUCCCCGUGUGGGGUGAAGUUUUAUUACCUGACAUCUCCAUGUGAAUAUCUAACACCUACACCAUGUUAUCUAGGCUAUGAAACAAUUCUUUGUUCCAGCCACUAUUCUUUUCUUAUCCAUGAAUUUCUCAAGGCUUCGGUGAUGGGAUUGUGUGUUUUUCCACACAAUGGAUGUGAUUAGGAAUGGUUGGCCAGGUCCUACACAAUAAAUUGCUCCAGCGUUCCUUUGGGUGACCAUUGAGACAAGUUUCAGCCAACGAAUGUAGCAAAGAAUUGGAACCACUCUGAGCUGUUCAUGCGAGUACUCUCAAUCCAGAAUAUCUGGUAAAUCGACUGUUAGGGAUUGAAUUGUGUCCCUCCAAAAUGUAUGUGGAAAUCCUAACCCCUGUACCUGUAAAUCUGACCUUGUUAGGAAAGAGGGGGCCUGCUUUUAUUAUGUGAAUGAGGUCAUACCAAUGUAGGGUGGGUCCUAAGCCUAACUCUUCUUAGUUAUAAAAGGAGCAGAAUACACACAGACACAAACAGGUGAAAAGGAAGACAGACAAAGAAGACAGAUGCUUCUAGAAGGCCAGGAACACAAAUGAUUGCUGGCAUCUACUAGAAGCUGAGGUAGACAAGGAAGGACCUCCCACUACAGCCAUGCCCUGAAUUCGAACGACUACCUGCUAAACUGUGAGAAAAUAAAUUUCUGUUCUUUAAAGCCAUCCAGUUGUGUUAUUUUUUGUUAUGGAGGGACUAGGUAACUAACACACAUACCCGUUCUUAUAAGUUCAGCCCAGUGCAGAAUAAUUUUCUUCCCUCCUUGGUCUAGACCACCCGAACCUGCUCUUUCCCUAUCAGUGUCCUUUGCUUUCACCUAAGAGCUAUGACAGAGUCAGCUCGAUGGUGAUGCAUUGAAAUUUCAAUUUAUUUUUUAUUUAUGAUUACUAUUAAUUCCAGUAUUUUCUACAGUUUUCAAUGGAGACAGUCCUAUAAUCUAUGAAUAGCAGUUAUACUUUUUCUCUUUUUGUACUAGCUUACACUUCCAGUGUUCAAUGUUUAAUAAAAGUAAUGAUAGAAGCACCCUUAUUUUAUUGUUUAUUAAUUUUAAAGAGAAUGUCCCACACGUCACCAUGAACUAUCGUGCUAGUUGUAGUUUUCCAUGUUCGGGAACUCCUUUUCUGUUCCAUAUUUGCUCCUAGUCCUUAUCUCUCCGUGUGAUUGGAUUUUAUCAACCUGCUUUGCCCCCAUCUCUUGAGGUGAGCAUAUGUCUUCUCUUCUUUCACCUAUGCAUGUGGUGAAUGAAAUUACUAAAUCUUUAACGUUCACUCAAAUUUGUAUGCCUACAAUAAAACGCCUUGAUCAUGGCAUGUUACGUGGUUUAUCCUUUGUUGGAUUUCCUUUGCUGGCAUCUUACAUAGGGUUUUGCAUCUCAGUUACUGAGUGUGCUUGUCCUCUAACUCUUCUUCUACCAUCCUUCUCUAAUUUGUUAUCAUUUUUAAACUAGCCUUAAGGAUCAAGUUAGGGGAGUAUCUCAUGGUUUUCUAAUCUCUGUUGACUAUGUACAAGAUUAAAAUGACUGUUUCUUGCAUGUUUGCUGGAACCUGACUGGAAACGAUCUAGGUCUGCCGUUUUCUUUGUAGGGAGAUCUUGAACUACUGACCCAUUUUAUUUAGUGGUUAAAGGCAUCUUCUGGUGCUAAUUUACUUAGAAAAAAUUCUGAUGCAUGUUCUAGGUUGCUCGAAUCUCAUCUUCAAAUAUUGAUUAUCAGGGCUUGUAGCCUCAUGGAAGGCAAUUCAUCAAUCCCAGAUUUCCCCAAAGUCAGGCUCUGCAACUCUUCCCGGUACCAAAUUCCCUCAUUUAAGACUUAUUUGCAAAGAGACAACAGUAUGCUAUCUGCGCAGUUGUUUAUCCACAACCUUCUUGAGUCCAUAAUGUGAGGAUAUAGUCUUCUAAUACUUUUUUUGUAAUUGUUCUCUUUCUUAUUUUUUUUUUUUCCUUUUUUCACUGCCAAUACCCCUGCCCCCCGCCAGUCUAGUAGUUUUAAAGUUGUGCGUUUCAGGUUCAAGUCUGUAAUCCAACUGAGCUUCUGUGUGUGCUGCAUGUGUGCAUCAAAAGAACACGCUUCUAGAAGCAGAAAGCAGGCAGUGCGACUGUUGGGUGGUUGGCGGGGGAGGGGGAGGGGAGCUGCUGCUCAGAGAGGGCGCCCGAGGGAGGCAGGAGAUGCCGGGCUGCCGGCCGCAAGCCUGCAGGCUCCAAGGAGGCGGAACCCGCGUGCGCCAUGAGCCUUUUGAGACAGGCCCAAGCCCACCCAGCCGGGUGCUAACCUCGCAUCCGCCAGGCUUGCAGGUUCCACCAGGACUAGGGGAAGCCUAAGGCCAAGGAGGGCAAGGUCUAGGGUCUGGACCUGAGAACUGGUUCUGCCACUUGUGAUCGCAGCGCUUAUGCUGGAAAGGAGGGCAGGAAGCAUAUCGCAACGUGUGUCCGGACGAUGACCCAGAAGGGGGGAGUUGUGGUCACCCACGGACUCUGGGUCUGCAUAUGGAGGCCCCCAGGGUGCAAUUCCAGGAGCAGAAGGCAAAGCCACAGAGGCCAAAGUGCACCUCGCCGAUGCUUCCCAGGGGCAUUUCCCCAAAUAUGGGGAGCAGUCCCUCCUCUGGGCUAGGGACUUUGUUUCCUCCAUUGUCAUCACUGACUGUGAGCAGACUCUAGUCUAUGCAGACUAAUGAGGAGUUAUCAAAAUGAGCUCCAAACUCCGGAUUUGAGUUAAGGAUCAUAAAUUAACACAGAGAAAUACGACUUUAGCAAUAAGUGACUGUUUGAAGCCCAAGUUGCCUUAAAACACGGAAUUUCAGUCUUUCAGCUCCUCUGCUAAUCUAGUGACUAAGAACAGGAUCUCACUGGAGCUCAAAGAUGUGGGGCACUGGGAAUACUCUGGGUCUGUCUGCUCACGGCUGAUUGCCUGAUCCCAGUUUUAUUAUACAGCUUAAAUACAGACCAGAAGAGGAGUUUGGGGCUUGACACCUGACAUCUUAACACCAGUUCCUGUUUCUUGAGGAAGGAAGAGGUAAAAUAAAUCAGCAUUUACUGUGUCCUUCUCCAUCCCCGGAAGUCUUCAUGAAGACCCUCUCAGCUUCUACUUGAACGUGAAUAUGAGCAACUGAUCAUCUGUUCUGCAGUCAGCCCCUGGCCUGAUUCUGACUCAUGGUAUUGACCUUCUCCAUCAUCACCUUCCACAAAUUUGAUUCCUAUCUAUUCUGCCUGGAAUGGUUCACGAGUAUAGUCACCAUUUAUGUUCCUGACGAAAGCAGGUGAAGGCAUUCGUGGAGAGAGGCGAUUUCCAUGCGUGCAGCAAAGUGUGUGCUGAGAUGAUGAGUCGCUGGAGACCGGGGUGGACUCUUCAGACCCAGGAUAGGCCUCUGGCAGGCACUCUAUCAGGCACUCCAAGCUGUGAAGUGACUCAGGGAGAGAAGGAAGAGAUUUCAGAGAAUGAACACAUACAGAGAGAGAGGCAAGAGAUGCUGAGUGAGGAUGUCUUGCGUACUGAUAUCCUGAGGAAAGUGGGAAAAUUGGACCCUGGCCUGCUCUGCCAAUGCCGUGAAGCAGUCCGCACCAGGGGCUCCCUUGUGCCUGCGUAGCCUUUCCCAGGGUGUGCUCAAAUCCUGUGGCCACUAGGUGUCCUAGGUCACAAUGGAGGACCCUGUGUCAUCUGCCUGGUGGACUGGAUCUCUGCCAUUGGCUGAGUCUUGUCACCAGGCCCAUCAUAAGCUCUGCCCACUCUUCCGGUGGGGAGACUCUCUCCAUGGUGAUGGCAAAGAAACCUUAGUCCCGCCCACCUGGCCUUGACUUCACCUACCUGGCCUGCUGACCCUCACUCAGACCUCUGUGUCGAUCAAAAUGAAUGUUCACCAGUUGCCCGGUGUCAGCAUCUGGUAUAAAGAAUUCGGGACCUUGCCUGAGGCAGAAGGCAGCCUAGGUCUGCGGGUACCUGGAAGUCUAGUGACUUGUGACGCUGCUGCCAGUGAGAAAUGGUGACUCCCAUACUCACAUAUCCCCUGGUGGCAGAAUGAUAGUGAUGGGUGGAGAAACAUGGUUCCGGAGCACACGUUCAGUCGGGCACCGGCCAAAUGCCACGGCCAGGAGUGGACGUUGUGGAGCUGCAUGGCGAGCCAGUGAAGGGCCCAAGGAUUUCUCCAAUGAGGCAAAAUGCAGAUCAAGCCAAGGAACAUAAAGAUAAAGCAGCUGAAGAAAUUAAAAAGGUUACUCAAGAACAUAGUUAAAAAUUUAAUAAGCUCCAAGAAACCAUAGAGAGACUGCAAUCAGAGAUUCAGAAGAUUAACAAUAAAAUUACAGAGUUAGAAAACUCAAUAGAAAGUAAGAAGAGCACAACUGAGGAAUUGGAAGGCAGAAUUACUGAGAUUGAAGGUGAAACUCUUGGGACUAAUAUAUUUGAAGAGAAAGCAGAUAAAAGAAAUUUAAAUGAAGAAAUCCAAAGAAUCAUAUGGGACUUUAUCAAGAGAAAUAACUAUGAGUGAUUUCAGUACCAGAACAGGGAGGGCUAACAGAAAAUACAAAGGGAACUGUUGAAGAUUUGUUGGCAGAAAACUUCCAUGAUAUCAUGAAAGAUGCUCAUCGAAUUCCACAUAAGGUAGAUCUCAAAAGAAAGUGACCGAGACACAUAAUAAUCAAACUUGCCAAAAUCAAAUAUAAAGAGAAUUUUAAGAGAGGCUAGGGAUAAAGGAAGUCACCAACAAAGGAGAGUAAAUAAUAAAAAACUUGGACUACUCAGCAGAAAUCAUGCAGGCAAGAAGGCAAAGGGAUGACUUACACAAAAUAUUGAAGGAAAAAAAUUGCCAGCCAGGAAUCAAACCAUAACCCUGGCCCUCUGGCCUUCGGGCCCUCUGGCCUUAGCCCUCUAACUCUAGCCCCUAAGCCCUGAGCCCCAAAGCCCCUAAGACCCUAAGCCCUUAGGUCCUAACCCCCAAGGCCCUAAACCCUAACCCUAACCCAAACCCUAACCCCUAUAGCCUAAACUCUACAACCUAAACACCUACACCCCAAAACACUACACAUCAAAACCCUACACACUAAACCCUAUACUCUAAGCCUCAAACCCUAAACCCAAACCUCAAAUUCCAAACCCUAAACCUAACCGUAAACCCUAAACCCUAACACCUAACCCUAACCCCUAACCACCCUAACCCUAAUGACCCUAACCCUAACCCUCGAACCCUAACCCUCUAACGCUAACAUGAAACCCUAAUCCGAAACCCUAACCCUCUAACUCUAACCUCUAACCCUCUAACCCUAGCCCUAAUCCUAACCCCAACCUCCAAACCUAACCCCAAACCCUAAACCUCAAAUCCCUAGCCCUAAACCUAAGAAUGAGCCUAAGCCUAACCCUAUCACUUAACUCUAAACCCUAAACCAUAACA